GGUUCUUUUUAAUGUUUUUUUUUUUUAUUUUUUUUCUCUCUCUCUCUCCCUUAUCUUUAUAAACCCCUUUUCCUCGUCUUCGUGGGAUUCAUGAUCAGUUUCUUCAUCUUCAUAUCAUUAUAUUCUUUAAAGGGUCUCUUUUUCUCUCUGAUUUUAGGGUUUUUUUUUUUCGGUUGUUGGCGUUGGUCGGGUUUGAUAUUUUGUGAGGGUUAAGAGAGCUUUCUUCAGUCCACUCAUGGGUGGCGGUAGGGUUUAAUUAGCUGCCGACUCAUUCGUUCUAAUACUGAGUCAAAAACCCGAGUCUCCGAUUCAGUAAACGAAUGAAUGAUGCGGGAGACAAAUUGAAUCUUAAGCUUCCUAUACUUGGACUGAAGGGAGCUCCCUUUCCUUUUACCCUUUUGAUUUUAUCCGUUUAUUUAUUUUUUUAUUGAAAUCUUCGUUUGAUCGGUCGAACAAUCGAAGACCCAAUUUCAUAAUUAGGGUAUUAUGUUGAAAAGAUGUUAAAAAUCUUGUCUUUUUUAUGUUUUUCACCAGCAUUGAUGGUGUGGUUGGAGUCAGAUUUGAGCCGGAAUUACCCAUUUGAAGAAAGUUUUGAGGUUGAUUCAGUAUUGGGUUAAUGGGUAAGGAUUAGGGUUCUUGAAAAUUGAAGGAAUAUUUUUUACAGAGCAGUAAAAAGAAAGGGUUUUUACUGGACAGACACGAGCUUCGACGCCAUAGCUUCUUGGGUAUUGGUCAUAUUGCUGCAACAAGUUCCCAGACAUUUUAUGUUACCACCACCCUCUUCCCAUUCUUGGGUUCAAGAAGGCCAUAGGGUUUGAAGAGGCUCUCUGUGUAGAAACCUCAUAUCAAUUGAGGAGAGGAUAUUUGUUAGAGGUGGACUUGACACUGCUACAAAUUGUAUCAAAGUCAGAUACCGAGCGAGCUGUGUGCCAACAAAGACAUUAGCACCUAAGGGAGUGGACGGUGAGAUCCUACAUCGAUUGGAGGGAGAAAUGAAACAUUUUUUGCAAUGAUGUAGAAACUCUCUCCAGUGGAAUUGUUUUAAACUUUGAGGGAAAACCGAGCACAUAAAGCACGAACACAACAAUAUUUGGUAGAAGUGGGUAAAUUUUCUUUAUUUAUUUUAUUUUAUUUUUGCUUAUUUAAACUCAAAAUUUGAAAAUUAGCUCAUGUUUGAAAAGUUUUAAAAAAAGAAACAAAACAAAUGAAAAGUUGUUGGAUUUAAUAAUAUCUAUGUUUGGUUCUUUGAGUAACAUUGAGUUGGAAAGUUUAGAUUUGAAAUUAUGGCUUCAAAAAUGGGUUUUAGCUGGAAAUUAUGUUUUUUUUAAGCCAAUUUUAAGGUUUGAAAUCAAUACAUUUAUGUUCUUGACAAAAA